rnacentral:ncRNA from 1 species
AUACAGUCGAUGAGAGGAAAGAGUACAUUUUCCAGCAGACUUCCAGCGAAUCGGGUAUGGUGUAAGCCGAUAGUCCAGCAGAAAUGGAAAAUCAUCCUUGAGAUAUGGUGCUGAACGCAUUUGACAUGUCAAAUGCAGUAGGCGGGCACGGGGGCUUCCCGUUACAGAAGCCGCGUAUGCUGGUACGUAGUAGAGUGCCCUGUCAUAAAAACAGGCAGGGAAUUUGGGUGGUAACACGGAUAAUGAGUUCGUCCCUUCG